rnacentral:lncRNA from 1 species
AGAGAAAUGAUGUUGGACAAAAAGCAAAUUUGAGCAAUUUUUUUUAUUCGAGUUCAAAAUGGGUCAUAAAGCAGCACAGACAACCUGCAACAUCAAGAAUGCAUUUGGCCCAGGAACUGCUAAUGAACAUAUAGUGCAUUGGUGGGUCAAGAAGUUUUGCAAAGGAGACGAGAGUCUUGAAGAUGAGGAAUGCAGUGGCUGGCCAUUGGAAGUUGACAAAGACCAACUUAGAACCAUCAUUGAAGCUGAUCCUCUAACAACAACCAGAGAUGUUGUCAAAGAACUCAAUGUCGACCAUUCUGUGGUCAUUCAGCAUUUGAAGCAAAUUGGAAAGGUGAAAAAGCUCAGUAAGUGGGUGUCUCAUGAGCUGACCAAAAAAAAAAAAGACCCCACAUCUUUAUGAAGUAUCCUCUUCUCUUAUUCUAUGCAACAACAAUGAACCAUAUCUAGAUUGGAUUGUGACAUGCGAUGAAAAGUGGAUUUCAUACAACAGCCAGUGA